GACGAACGCUGGCGGCGUGCUUAACACAUGCAAGUCGAACGGAAAGGCCCUGCUUUUGUGGGGUGCUCGAGUGGCGAACGGGUGAGUAACACGUGAGUAACCUGCCCUUGACUUUGGGAUAACUUCAGGAAACUGGGGCUAAUACCGGAUAGGAGCUCCUGCUGCAUGGUGGGGGUUGGAAAGUUUCGGCGGUUGGGGAUGGACUCGCGGCUUAUCAGCUUGUUGGUGGGGUAGUGGCUUACCAAGGCUUUGACGGGUAGCCCGCAUGGGAGGGUGACCGGGCACAUUGGGACUGAGAGACGGCGCAGUCGCCUACGGGAGGCAGCAGGGGGGAAUAUUGCACAGUGGGCCGGAGCCUGAUGCAGCGACGCCGCGUGCGGGAUGACGGCCUUCUGGUUGUAAACCGCUUUCGCCUGUGUCGAAGCGUGAGUGACGGUAAUGGGUAAAGAAGCACCGGCUAACUACGUG
rnacentral:rRNA from 1 species